GUGAGGGUCCCCGGAAGGGUCUGCCCUCGUGGAAAGGAAGGAAAGGGUCAUUGCGGAUGCCAGCACAGGCCAGGGGGAGCUCCUGGGGGGGGGAGGCAGGGUGUGAUCUAGGCUCAGGGCUGCGUCAGCCCCAGCAGAGGCUCCGGGACACGGCCAGGAGGGCCGUCCAUGGCGAAGUGAACCCUGGCUCAGUGUGGUCACAGGGCAGGAGGGGUGAGGACAGACGUGGCCGCUGGCUCUGCGGACGGACGGUGGGCCUCGGGCCAAGGAUGCCUCCAGGAGCUGGAAAAGGUGUGGAAAUGACUCCCCGGGGCCCUACCAGCGAGGCAGACCCUGACCUCCAGACCACAAGGCAGUCACGGGCUGUGGCUCCAGGGCAGAAAGUUUGCAACAACUCCUCACAGUUGCUGCAGGGACCUCGUACGGGACCAGCCGCCGGCCCUGCGGGACGCCUCCCCCCCCACCCCCCACCCCGCCAGCCCCCAGGCCCGCCGCCCUCCCCGGGGCUCGCUGCAGGGCCCGCCCGUGCCCCAACUCAGGACUCAGCUGGAGGACGGACAAGGAGAGGAGCGGCUGCGUCACGGCUCCCCGCUCAGGCCUUAACUGACAGCAGGAAAACACACAUUUGCUGUGGUGACCUGUGCGGAGUUAGACACUUGCGUUAUUUUAAUUAAGGCUUGUGACGGAUGAAUCUCAAUAAAGCAGCUGUUCUGGACGA